rfam:Picea glauca, whole genome shotgun sequence.
GACGGAGGAGGCUAGGUUAGCCGAAAGAUGGUUAUCGGUUCAAGGACGCAAGGUGACCCUGCUUUUUUCAGGGUAAGAAGGGGUAGAGAAAAUGCCUCGAGCCAAUGUUCGAGUACCAAGUGCUACAGCAUUGAAGUAACCCAUGCCAUGCUCCCAGAAAAAUCUCGAACUACCUUUAACAAAUGGGUACCUAUACCCGAAACCGACACAGGUAGGUAGGUAGCGAAUACCUAGGGGGGUGAAACAACUCUCACUAAUAAACUCGACAAAAUAGCCCCGUACCUUCGGCAGAAGGGGGGCCUCCUCAUGAGGUCGCAGUGACAGGGCUCAGGCGACUGUGUACCACAAGCACAGGUCGCCGCAAAGUUGUAAGACCAUGUAUGGGGGAUGACUCCUACCUAGUGCCAGAAGGUUAAUGAAGUUGGUGACUUGAUGACGAGGAAUCCAAUGACCGAAGCCCCAGUGAACGGUGACCAUAACUAUAACGGUCCUAAGGUAGUGAAAUUCCUUGUUGGGUAAGUUUUGACCUGCACGAAAGGUGUAACGAUCUGGGCACUGUCUCGGAGAGAGACUCGGUGAAAUAGACAUGUUUGUGAAGAUGCAGACUACUUUCACCUGGACAUAAAGACCCUAUGAAUCUUUACUGUUCCCUAGGAUUGUCUUUGGGUUCUUCUUGUGCAGCUUAGGUGGAAGGCGAAGAAGGCUCCCUCUUAGGGGGGCCUGAGCCACUAGUGAUAUACCACUCUGGAAGAGCUAGAAUUAUAACCUUGUGUCAGGACCUACGGGCCAAGGAACAGUCUCAGGUAGAUAGUUUCUAUGGGGCGUAGGCCUCCCAAAAGGUAACAAAGGCAUGCAAAGGUUUCCUCGGGCUAGAUGAAAAUCGACCCUCGAGUGCAAAGGUAGAAGGGAGCUUGACUGCAAGACCCACCCGUCGAGCAGGGAUGAAAGUAAACCUUAGUGAUCCGAUGGUACCGAGUAGAAGGGUCUUCGCUGAAUGGAUAAAAGAUACUCUAGGGAUAAUAGACCGAUCUUCCCCAAGAGUUCACAUCGACGGGAAGGUUUGGCACCUCGGUGUCGGCUCUUCGCCACCUAGGGUGGUAGUAUGUUCCAAGGGUUUGGAUGUUCGCCCAUUAAAGUGGUAUGUGAGCUGGGUUCAGAACGUCAUGAGAUAGUUCGGUCCAUAUCCGGUGCGGGCAUUAGAGCAUUGAGAGGACCUUUCCCUAGUACGAGAGGAUCAGGAAGGACACACCUCUGGUGUACCAGUUAUCAUGCCCACGGUAGACGCUGGGUAGCCAUGUGCAGAGCGGAUAACUACUGAAAGCAUAUAAUUAGGAAGCCCACCCCAAGACAAGUGCUAUCCUAUUCUUACUUCCCUGAGAGCCCUAGUUGUGAACACGACUGGGACAAUUAUGGGUUAUCUGUCCUUGCAGGGUAUGGAGCGACAAAAGUAUUGAGAAUUCAAUAUAAGGUCACAGCGAGAAGAGCAGCUUAUCAUUAAGAUAUGUGUCAAGUGGAAGUGCAGUGAUGUAUGCACCUGAGGCAUCCUAACAGACCGAGAGAUUUGAACCU